rnacentral:pre_miRNA from 1 species
UCUCCUUGAGGGGUCUCGGCCUCUACCCAGGACCUUUUCAUGACCAGGAGGCUGAGGCCCCUCAUAGGCGGC